UGGGGAAUAUUGCGCAAUGGGGGAAACCCUGACGCAGCAACGCCGCGUGAAGGAUGAAGGUUUUCGGAUUGUAAACUUCUUUGAUGAGGGACGAACACAAUGACGGUACCUCAAAAACAAGCCACGGCUAACUACGUGCCAGCAGCCGCGGUAAUACGUAGGUGGCAAGCGUUGUCCGGAUUUACUGGGUGUAAAGGGCGUGUAGGCGGGGAUGCAAGUCAGAUGUGAAAUCCCGCGGCUCAACCGCGGAACUGCAUCUGAAACUGCGUCUCUUGAGUGUCGGAGGGGAAAGUGGAAUUCCUAGUGUAGCGGUGAAAUGCGUAGAUAUUAGGAGGAACACCAGUGGCGAAGGCGGCUUUCUGGACGACAACUGACGCUGAGGCGCGAAAGCGUGGGGAGCAAACAGG
rnacentral:rRNA from 2 species